CAUAAAACCAUGACAGGAAUUAGUAACAGGCAUGCUUUCUUUAGAGAGCCGGUGGAAGGUGCGAACCGGUGGCUGCGGCUUGUGAAUCCAUCCUCGAGUAAAGUAUGGAACACCCAGCGGGUUAGUAAUUACUUUCGGCCUAAGCCGUUAUCUUUAUGAGUGGAAGACAGAUUCAUGUUUUCAACUAGGGUGGCAACGCGGGUUAACUCUCGUCCCUUUU
rnacentral:ncRNA from 1 species